rnacentral:rRNA from 1 species
GUGGGUGGUAAACUCCAUCCAAGGCUAAAUACAAGCACGAGUCCGAUAGCGAACAAGUACCGUGAGGGAAAGUUGAAAAGUACUUUGAAGAGAGAGUAAACAGUACGUGAAACCGCAUGCAGGUAAACGGGUGGCGUCAAGCUGCGAACCCAGAGGAUUCAGCUGGCUAGGAUGUUGUGAUGCGCCUGGCGCAUCCAUCAGUCGGAAUAAGAUGUGAUAGUCCACUGGGAGACGGUGGGCCCGGCCGCAAGGUUGGGAUAUGUGUACCGGGUGUUAGCCGGAGCAUGCUAUUCAUCUGUUGGGCUGUCUAGUCAGUGCACUUUCUCUGUGGUGAACACCACGACCGGUGGAAUUGCCAGUCUGCUGUAGUCAAGUCUUGCUGAGAGGGUCCUUGUGGCCAACUUGGUAGGAUCACAGGCAAUGUCAGUGAACGGCGUAGGGGUGCCUUUGGUGUUCUUACGUGUUAUCGGCCACUGCUUGUCAACGGGCCUGCUCGGCGGUUGUUGUAACUGCUGCUGGGUGGUCUGGUGGGCUAUGGUGGUAAUAAAAACUGUGCAAGGCACCGGAGAUGUCGGCCUCAAAUGCACUCUGCACUGGCAUGUUACAAGUGCGAGGGGGUGCCAUUGCGGUCUGCCUGUUGUUGAGUCUGAUUGUCGUGUCGCCUGCGCAAAGUGGGCCCGGCAGUGGCUUGAUGCAGGAUGGGCCGUGGAUGGUGUCUCUCAGGUGUAGGGUGCGGUGGGCCCAAUAGUCAGUGGUGCUGUGGUAGACGAGCUACCCGACCCGUCUUGAAACACGGACCAAGGAGUUUAACAUGUAUGCAAGUCAAGGGGUCCUACGAAACCCAAAGGCGCAGUGAAAGUAAAGCUUCGACUUGUUCUCGGAGUGAGGUGAGAUCCUGCCGUGACUCGCAUCGCUUGGUGCCAGCAUCAGGCAAAGAGCGGUAGGCGCAUCACCGGCCCGUCCCAUGAUGUGGUCAUUGGAUGUCUGCAGUGGUUGCUUGC